CAAUAGCGUAUAUUAAAGUUGUUGCGGUUAAAAAGCUCGUAGUUGGAUUUCUGCUCAGAGCGACCGGUCCGCCUUUGGGUUGGUAUCAGGUUCGCUUUGAACAUAAUCUUGGGAAACAUUGGCUGCGCAUCGCGUGGCCUGUUCCUGGGUCAUUUACUUUGAGGAAAUUAGAGUGUUUCAAGCAAGCGUUUGCCUUGAAUACAUUAGCAUGGAAUAAUACUAUAGGACUUCGGUUCUGUUUUGUUGGUUUCUGGGACUGAGGUAAUGAUUAAUAGGGACAGUCGGGGGCAUUCGUACUUAACUGUCAGAGGUGAAAUUCUUGGAUUUGUUAAAGACGGACUAAUGCGAAAGCAUUUGCCAAGGAUGUUUNCAUUGA
rnacentral:rRNA from 1 species